UACACAGGCAAAAUUUGCUCACAUGAAUUUCACAUCAAUCUCACGUGAAAUUCACAUGAAAAAUUUCACGUGAGAUUCACCUCAAUCGAGCUUAUACAUGAAACUCACGUGAAAAUUUUCAUGUGAAUUUCACGUGAAUUGAGAUUCACAUGAUUCUGAUGUGAAAUUUUUCACAUGAAUUUCACGUGAAAUUUACAACAAA
rnacentral:lncRNA from 1 species